AAAGCGUGCGCAGGCGGUUAUGUAAGACAGAUGUGAAAUCCCCGGGCUCAACCUGGGAACUGCAUUUGUGACUGCAUGGCUAGAGUACGGUAGAGGGGGAUGGAAUUCCGCGUGUAGCAGUGAAAUGCGUAGAUAUGCGGAGGAACACCGAUGGCGAAGGCAAUCCCCUGGGCCUGCACUGACGCUCAUGCACGAAAGCGUGGGGAGCAAACAGGAUUAGAUACCCCAGU
rnacentral:rRNA from 1 species